rnacentral:rRNA from 1 species
UACGUAGGGGGCAAGCGUUGUCCGGAAUCAUUGGGCGUAAAGCGCGUGUAGGCGGCCCGAUAAGUCCGCUGUGAAAGUCCAGGGCUCAACCCUGGAAUGCCGGUGGAUACUGGCGGGCUCGAGUCCGGAAGAGGCGAGUGGAAUUCCUGGUGUAGCGGUGAAAUGCGCAGAUAUCAGGAGGAACACCGAUGGCGAAGGCAGCUCGCUGGGACGGUACUGACGCUGAGACGCGAAAGCGUGGGGAGCAAACAGG